rnacentral:lncRNA from 1 species
AAAAAAUUAAAGAAUGUAAAUACACAAGCCUGUAAUUUGACUGGAGACAGACUAAUUAGAGUUUAGGUUUUAGAAUUUGAAAUGAACACAGACUAGUUAGUUUAAUUACUGUUGUCUAUAAACAGAAGUGGAAAUUAACGAGAAAAGAAACAUCCAGUCGGCUAAUUAUUGAAGACACCAGAAAGGGUUGGAUACAACUUAACACUUCAUGGUGAUAGAGAUUCAAAUUUCAAAACUAGUAGAACCAAUACCAAAAGUCACAUUCAUUCUAGUCUAGUAUAAGAGUAUACUCAUCAAACACAAGGAGAUCGAGACACAAAAGAAAGCAUCUAGGCUCCAGUCACCGCCAUUUAGCAACUAUGUACAACCAUGACAAAAGCUCUCAAACAACUACACCUGAAAAAUGGACCAUGUUCCAUUUGAUCAACAUAUCCAACUUUGCAUCAUCGUCACCUUUUCCUCUUAGCUGCCCAUCUAAAGCUUUGUUUGCACAAUCUCCCGUUCUUCUGUGAGUCUACAGAAAAAUUGCCCCAGCCAAGUUUUCUAACAACUCUAACUUACAAAAACUAGUUUCCCCGAGAUGCCCCCUUCAACUUCUUGUCUCAAAAAGGCCACCAGACCAGUUGAGCUAUCUACCACAUCCAAAGGAAUCUGGAACUAACAGUUCAAAUAAGUGCAGCAAACCAUGGAAAAAGUGCAAUCAAUCCUCAACUUAUGACGUCUGAGUUGAAAAUUCUCGUAAGAUAUAUCGUACACCUUGUUUUCAGUCUAAAUAUACUUCAGUCCAGAGAUAUGUUGCUGUCUAGAAACCAUUGACUGCGCUAUCGUAUAAAUAAUUCCCAAAAUACCCAAUAUCUUAAUCUUUAUCACAUCCGCUAUUAUUACGGAUGGCAGAUUAAGCGGCAAGGUAAUUAGAGGCGUUGUAUCUGCCUGUUUUGUGUAACUCC